rnacentral:rRNA from 1 species
GACGAACGCUGGCGGCGUGCCUAAUACAUGCAAGUUGAGCGAUGAAGCUUGGUGCUUGCACCAAUUUGAAGAGCAGCGAACGGGUGAGUAACGCGUGGGGAAUCUGCCUUUGAGCGGGGGACAACAUUUGGAAACGAAUGCUAAUACCGCAUAAUAACUUUAAACAUAAGUUUCAAGUUUGAAAGAUGCAAUUGCAUCACUCAAAGAUGAUCCCGCGUUGUAUUAGUUAGUUGGUGAGGUAAAGGCUCACCAAGGCGAUGAUACAUAGCCGACCUGAGAGGGUUAUCUGCCCCAUUUGGACCUGGACCCCGCCCCAACCCCUUCGGGGAGCAGCAGGUGGGGAACUUCGGCCAUUGACGGAAAUCUGGCCGAAGAACGCCGCGGUGGUGGAGGAAGUUCUCCGAUUGUAAAACUCCUUUUGUUGGGAAGGACGUUGGUGAGAGUGGAAAGCUCAUCAAGUGACGGUAACUACCCAGAAAGCAACGGCUAACUACGUG